AGCAGAUAGAGUUUGAUCCUGGCUCAGGAUGAACGCUAGCGGCAGGCCUAACACAUGCAAGUCGAACGGUAACAGGGAUUGCUUGCAAUCCGCUGACGAGUGGCGCACGGGUGCGUAACGCGUAUGCAAUCUGCCUAUAACUGAGGGAUAGCCCAGAGAAAUUUGGAUUAAUACCUCAUAAUAUUGUUUUUUGGCAUCAUUAAACAAUUAAAACUUCGGUGGUUAUAGAUGAGCAUGCGUCCUAUUAGCUAGUUGGUAAGGUAACGGCUUACCAAGGCAACGAUAGGUAGGGGGCCUGAAAGGGUGAUCCCCCACACUGGUACUGAGACACGGACCAGACUCCUACGGGAGGCAGCAGUGAGGAAUAUUGCGCAAUGGAGGAAACUCUGACGCAGCCAUGCCGCGUGCAGGAAGACGGCCCUACGGGUUGUAAACUGCUUUUAUAUAGGAAGAAACCCCGAUACGUGUAUCGGCUUGACGGUACUAUAUGAAUAAGGACCGGCUAACUCCGUGCCAGCAGCCGCGGUAAUACGGAGGGUCCAAGCGUUAUCCGGAUUUAUUAGGUUUAAAGGGUCCGCAGGCGGGAUUUUAAGUCAGUGGUGAAAGCCUACAGCUCAACUGUAGAACUGCCAUUGAUACUGAUAUCCUUGAGUGUGGUUGAAGUGGGCGGAACAUGUCAUGUAGCGGUGAAAUGCAUAGAUAUGACAUAGAACACCAAUUGCGAAGGCAGCUCACUAAGCCAUUACUGACGCUGAGGGACGAAAGCGUGGGGAGCGAACAGGAUUAGAUACCCUGGUAGUCCACGCCGUAAACGAUGAUCACUCGUUGCUAGCGAUACACUGUUAGUGACC
rnacentral:rRNA from 1 species